CACGGUCACCCUGCUUUUUUCGUGCGAACAAGUUGCCAUUUUUCUGCCAGACAAAUUGAUACUCUUUUUCUGCAGCCUUUUCUCUCAGCAUCCAGAGAAGCUUCUUGUUCGUGGUGGUCAAAUUAUCAAGAAACCAGACGUCUGAUCGGGUUUCUUUUAGCAUGCAGAUUUCUUCGGUAUCUUGGGUUCCCUCAACUUUUUCCACUCGUCUUCUCAACUAAUUCCUGCCUAAGAUGCGGUUCCUGUUCGGGCUUCUGCGUUCCUGGGCUUUGAAUGCCUCGGCUCUUCGCGGUAAGGCAUG